rnacentral:sRNA from 1 species
AGAUUUUACUUUUAGUAAACUUAAGAGGAUUUCAAUUUAGCUUUGGUCACUGGGUUUUUCUCCUUUUGUAGCCUUUUCCUUUAGUCUCCUCUUCCCGGUGGUUGGUAAAAAGAGGUGAAUUGACAGCCUAUGUUGAAGACACUGUGCUUUUCUCAAGAAGGACAUCCAAACAGCAAGUCUACUUCUUUCUCUUUAACGAUGUGCUCAUUAUCACCAAGAAGAAGAGUGAAGAAAGUUACAACGUCAAUGAUUAUUCCUUAAGAGAUCAGCUAUUGGUGGAAUCUUGUGACAAUGAAGAGCUUAAUUCUUCUCCAGGGAAGAACAGCUCCACAAUGCUCUAUUCAAGACAGAGCUCUGCCAGUCACCUCUUUACUCUGACAGUCCUUAGUAACCAUGCGAAUGAGAAAGUGGAGAUGCUACUAGGAGCUGAGACGCAGAGCGAGCGAGCCCGCUGGAUAACUGCCCUGGGACACAGCAGCGGGAAGCCGCCUGCAGACCGAACCUCACUGACCCAGGUGGAAAUCGUUAGGUCAUUUACUGCUAAGCAGCCAGAUGAACUCUCCCUGCAGGUGGCUGACGUCGUCCUCAUCUAUCAACGUGUCAGCGAUGGCUGGUAUGAGGGGGAACGACUACGAGAUGGAGAAAGAGGCUGGUUUCCUAUGGAAUGUGCCAAGGAGAUAACAUGUCAAGCUACAAUUGAUAAGAAUGUGGAGAGAAUGGGACGCUUGCUAGGACUGGAGACCAACGUGUAGUCUCUCGGAUGGUCUUUUGUUACUGCAAGAUUUGCACGACACUUACCGGGCUGGUUGGUUCUGGGCUAGUUUUGUUAAUUUUGUCACAGCCUAUUUAAUUAAAAGAACGAAAACACUUGCCUUUAAGCUUGCCAGGUUGUUCUGCUCUCUCAUGAGAAGAGCUUGGAUACAGUGAGUUUGCACAGCUCAGUUUUUACCUAACCACACACUUGCAGACCUCCUGAGGUACACAGAAUAGCUGAGCAGUUCACUUCAGGGAUCAGGUCAUCUCUGCUCCUCCUAGUUUCACCAUGUUCUGGCAAUAAAAAACACUAUAUUAUAUCCUGGUUUUCUCUAUCCUUGCAUUACUAAGGUGACUGUCUCUCUUUAUACAUCCUUGUAUGGUUCUCCCAGUAUUAGCAAGAUUUUAUAUCUGUAAAGAAUGUCCAGUUUUGUAAAUAUUUCCCUGCCUUUUUUUUUCUUUUUUUUUACAUCUGAUUCUAAUGCUUCGUUAACUUCAAAAGGAACUGGUAGAGUUCAGAAGGUGAGCUGUUGUUUUUCUAAACCUCUUCCCAGGAAAGGGACAUUGACACUUGAAUUUUUGUCACCUUUUUCCUCAUUAGAAGGAAAGUAGAAAGCCUUACUUUAGGAUUUUUUUAAAAAAUCCAUCUCACCCCAUAUUGGUCUUAAAUAAGUAUAGACUAAUUAACCUAAGCUACCUUUAACAACGUAGAAUUUAGAUGGGUUCAUAUAUGUGAGAAAAACCUGAAUAUAGGACAGGGGUCCUACUUUUUUCCCCCACCUCUGUCGCCCAGGCUGGAGUAUAGUGGUGUGAUCUUGGCCCACUGCAACCUCUGCUUCCUGGGUUCAAGUGAUUCUCCUGCCUCAGCCUCCCAAGUAGCUGGGAUUGUAAGAGUAUGCCACCACGCCCAGCUACUUUUUGUAUUUUUAGUAGAGACAGGGUUUCACCAUGUUGGCCAGGAUGGUCUCUUAACUCCUGCCCUCAAGUGAUCCACCAGGGAGGAGAUCCUCGGCCUCCCCAAGUGCUGGGAUUAUAGGCAUGAGCCACCGUGCCCAGCCUACUUUCUAAUUAAUUAAAAAAAAAAAAAAAAAAACUUCCCAAAUGAGCUGAUAAAAAACUGACGUGAGGCUGCUUUGCCUUCAAUAAUACCUAGUUUUCAGCUGUUCCAACUCGUUUCCAAAUAGAAAUUAGCUGGAACACACUCCAGUAAUCUCAAGGAAGGGAAAAUUAGGCCUUAAAAGAUAUCAAGAAGUCAGCAUGGUACCCAAUUGAAACCUUUUGACCUUAGUGGGAAUUCAUUCUAUUUGCACUAAAAGCCUUAACUUGCUGUAUUCAGAGUCCCUCUUAACUGUGAGUUUCUGUAGAACUUUACUUUUUCCACUAGUGCACAGAGAGAGAAAGGUUAUCUUAAUAGUCGGUUUCAUGGAGAUGAAGGAUGGGAGAUUAAGAGGGGGGAAAUGAUUUUUACUGGCAGCUAUAUUCCCUCUCUGUUCUAUUUGCUUUAACAAAGGGAUAAAACCUGGCAAAGUGUACAUUAUUGGAGGACUCAAAUCUGUAUGUGACAUGUCCCAACUACUGUCCGCUAACUAGUUAUCCAAAUUGUAAAGCUACAGAAGCCCAGUUGAGGGGUAAGUGUGCCUGGCUCACACAGCCUGCACCCUGUCACCUUGGCAGUGAGCCAGUGUGGGGCACUGGGGACUUCUAACCCUUGGAUUGCUCUUUUUGACCUGUGCAUACCUUCUAAUUGUAAAAUAUAUUUCAGACCGUGAGUACCUUGAGAUCUGAGCAACUGUGGUAAUGAAGUAAUAGCAAUGGUCCACAGUGAAAGAUGUGUUGGGGUUUGCAAAACAAGCAUUCCGUCUCUGCAAAACAAAACAAGCAUUCCGUCACCUCUUUAAUAAUGUCACAGACUUUUUAAAGGAGAGGCUAACAAGUUGUAAUAUAAUCUGUCAUGUUUUAUUUAGGAAGGAAGGUAAAUUUGUGCUUGCACGGGGAUCAUUUUGUAUUAUUUUUGCUAAUACCCAGUUGAAGCUAAAAAGCAACUAUUUGAAUCCUGUGAAUUAAUUUAUAAGAAUGUUAAACAGCUUUGGAAAUACAUGCAUCUUAUGAAUCAUAGCCUAAUUUAGCAAGAUCAAUGCUGUGUAUUAAAGUGUUGUUAUAUGGCAAGUAUUUAACACAUUCACAGUGUUUGAUUUCAACUGUGAAUUGUCUUACAGUUUUUUCAAACCUAGUUGUUUCUAUGAACACCUGCUCUGAAUUGUACAUUGACUUCAUUACUAAAGAACAAAAAUGUUCAUUUUUGUCCCAGUAAAUUGAGACUGCUUGUACACUUUCAGAAAAAUAUGUGAAUUUAUAAAGAUUUUGUAGAUACUUGU